rnacentral:rRNA from 1 species
UACGUAGGGGGCAAGCGUUGUCCGGAUUUAUUGGGCGUAAAGCGCGCGCAGGCGGUCUCUUAAGUCUGAUGUGAAAGCCCACGGCUCAACCGUGGAAGGUCAUUGGAAACUGGGAGACUUGAGUGUAGGAGAGGAAAGUGGAAUUCCACGUGUAGCGGUGAAAUGCGUAGAGAUGUGGAGGAACACCAGUGGCGAAGGCGACUUUCUGGCCUAUAACUGACGCUGAGGCGCGAAAGCGUUGGGAGCAAACAGG